rnacentral:rRNA from 1 species
CAGGAAUAGAAGGGUGUAUGGUGGAUGCCUUGGAUUCAAAGAGCGAUGAAGGACGUGUAAUGGCUGCGAUAAGCUUCGGGGAGACGCCAAUGAGUCUGCGAUCCGGAGAUUUCCGAAUGAGGAAACUCUACGUGUUACGCACGUAACCUGUGUAUGCAGGAGCAAACCUUCUGAAUUGAAACAUCUUAGUAAGAAGAGGAAAAGAAAGCAAUAAACGGAAGUUUCUUUCUGGGCGGUUAACGCCUUGAGAGCAAUCUUGUGGCGUACCAUUACGCACAGGAAGAAGCUUCUUGCGAUACCCUAAGUAGCGGCGAGCGAAAAGGGCAGAGCCCAAACCAUACAUGUUUACAUGUACGGGGUUGUAGGGCGAGGUCUGCAUUUAGUUGCGGAGAGUCAAAAAUGUGUAUUAUAGAAGAAUCAUCUGGAAAGAUGAACCCUAGCAGGUAAUAGUCCUGUAUUCGAAAUCUUACACACUCUCUUGGCCUCGUUCCUGAGUAGGGCGGGACACGAAUAGCCCGUCUGAAUCUACCAGAACUAACUGGUAAGGCUAAAUAUCUUUGAAUACCGAUAGUGAACUAGUACCGUGAGGGAAAGGUGAAAAGUAGUCCGGGAGGACAGUGAAAUAGACCUGAAACCAUACAUCUACAAGGAGUUGAAGACCUGAGGGUCGACAGCGUGCCUAUUGAAGAAUGAGCCGGCGAGUGUACCUAUAUUGUUUGUCUAAGUGGCAAUCCCACGGAGGCGUAGUGAAAGCAAGCGUGAAUAGCGCGACCAAUUGACAGUAUAGGUACAACCCGAAACGUGAUGAGCUUACCAUGAGCAGGCUGAAGCGACUGUAAAAGGUCGUGGAGGGCCGAACCCGUAAGUGAUACAAAACUUUGGGAUGACUUGUGGUAAGGAGUGAAAAGCUAAUCGAAUUACGUAAUAGCUGGUUCUCUCCGAAACAGCUUUUGGGUUGGCGUCGCGUGUUCCCACUGGGGGUAGAGCUACUGGUAAGAGUGAACAGGGAGAAAUCUCGUCACUUUUGUCAACCUCCGAAUACCAGAUGGUUAAGAACGCGGCAGUUAGACUACGGGGGCGAAGCUCCGUUAGUCAAGAGGGAAACAGCCCAGAUCGCCGAUUAAGGUCCCUAAAUCCAUGCUCAGUGCAACUUGAGGAUGUGAGGAUUCUCAAACAACCAGGAGGUUGGCUUAGAAGCAGCCAUCCUUUAAAGAAAGCGUAACAGCUCACUGGUCGAGAGUCCUUGCGCCGAAAAUGAUCGGGGCUUAAGCAUGGUACCGAAGUCGCGAAUGCAUACAUUAGUAUGCGUGGUAGGAGAGCGUUCGUAGCCGCAUUGAAGCCAAGGGGUGACCCACGGUGGAGUGCUACGAAGUGAGAAUGCCGGCACAAGUAACCGCAAGGAGGGUGAGACCCCCUCCCGUCGAAAUACCAAGGUUUCCAGGGCAAUGGUGAUCAUCCCUGGGUUAGUCGGUCCUAAGCCAAUCCCGAACGGGGGAGGCGAUGGAGAGCAGGUUAAUAUUCCUGCACAUCAAUGUAGUCCUAUGGAGGGACGGAGUGCUGUACUCACAGCUGGUUAUUGGAUUCCAGUUGGAGCUCUGAGGAGGUGUGGUAGGUAAAUCCGCCACACAUUACUCCAAGGAGGGUCGCAAGAUGAGUCUACGGACAAGUCAAGUGUGAGGAGCGCGCUUCCAAGAAAAACUUCGUUUGGGUUAACUACAUGGAUACCGUACCGCAAACCGACACAGGUGGUAGAGUCGAGAAGACUAAGACGAACGAGUGAUAUGCCCUUAAGGAACUCGGCAAACAAGCGACCGUAACUUCGGGAUAAGGUCUGCCCCUUGAAAUAGAGGGGCCGCAGCGAAAGAUUUCCUAGCGACUGUUUAUCAAAAACACAGCUUUCUGCGAAGACGUAAGUCAAUGUAUAGAAGGUGACGCCUGACCGAUGCGGGAAGGUUAAAUAGGGAUGGUCCAUGGUCGUAAGAUUGUGGGCUGGGCUCUAUAAGCCCCCGUCAAUGUCAGCGAUAACUAUAAUCGUUCUAAGGUUCUCUGCAUGUGUAGCAAUACAUGUGCAGAGAAGGAUUGGAACGAUUAUAGGAUAAACAGCCGAGUCAUAGUUACCUCACCUUUAGAAAUAAGGAGUGAUCCACAUGCAACCAACAAGAGACCAAAUGUUGCACAUCUGACCAUUCAGUUGAAGAUGAAGAUAGAGUCCUAUAGUGAAAUGUCUCUGCUUUCGGGCAGAGGAGAAGGAAAAAUAGAGCGAAUUUCCUUGUCGGGUAAGUUCCGACGUGCACGAAUGGCGUAACGACUGGGAAACUGUCUCAAGGGCAUGCUCGGUGAAAAUACAAUCCCUGUGAAGAUGCAGGGUACCUGCAGUUAGACGAAAAGACCCCGAGAGCUUUACUGUAGCUUCGUAUUGAGGCUAUUGAUGUGAUGCGUAGCAUAGGUGGGAGACUUUGAAGCAUCCUUUUCGGAGGAUGUGGAGUCGAAAUAUGAAAUACCACUCUUCACUUUGGUAGUCUCUAACCUGGUAGAAAAAAUCUAUCAGAGACAGUGCGUGGCAGGCAGUUUUAGUGGGGCGCUACCCUCCCAAAUUGUAACGGAGGGGUCUCAAGGUUGGCUAGGCGCGAAUGGAAACCGUGCUGAUAGUGUAAUGGCACAAGCCAGCUUGACUGUGACGGGUAAGACCGAAACAGACACGAAAGUGGAGCAUAGUGAACCGACGGUCCGCGUUAGAUGCGGCCGGAGAUUAUCUGAUAAAAGUUACCUCGGGGAUAACAGGCUAGUUGCGCCUAAGCGUCCAUAGCGACGGCGCAGUUCGGCACCUCGAUGUCGGCUCAUCUUAUCCUGGGGCUGGAGCAGGUCCCAAGGGUAUGGCUGUUCGCCAUUUAAAAAGAUACGCGAGCUGGGUUUAGACCGUCGUGAGACAGGUUGGUCCCUAUCUACUGCAGGCGUUGAAUAUUGAGGAGAUUUGUCCCUAGUACGAGAGGACCGGGAUGAACGAACCUCUGGUCUAUCAGCUGUCACGCCCGUGGCAACGCUGAGUAGCUAUGUUCGGAAUGAAUAACCGCUGAAAGCAUCUAAGUGGGAAGUCAACUCCAAGAUUAGUAUUCGUUAAGUCCCCUAAGAGAUUAUUAGGUUGAUAGGCAUUAGAUGUACGCACAGUAAUGUGUUUAGUCGAGAUGUACUAAUCGGACGU